GGAGUUAUGUGUAACACAAACAAACCAGCUCUCCCAGAGUGUUUAUCUCAUGGCACAGAGCGCUGUGUGCCCGCACAUCAAAGACUGUGGGAACAGACGACGCUCGGUGCAGCAGCUGCACUGGGAUCCUGUCCACACCCUUCCUGUUUGCCGCGGUCUACCUCGGGGCUAUUAUUUUCCCAACGGCCCUGCGACGAUAACCUUCCUACUGCCGUGGACACCGCUCCGCUGCCACCACCACCUCCCCGCUCCAUGCCUUUCCUCCCGACCGCACCACGUCUCUCCGGGGCUCAACGGCCCACUGUGAUGUCUGAAGCUGGCUGGCAUUGUUCUCUCAGAGCGCUACGGUGAUAGACAGAGGUCUGUGAGACGCCUGCCCUGACCACCUCCUGGGGAGGCCAUGUUUCCUGUGGGUGGCGGUGCGUGGCAGGUUGUCCCCGGUUACAGGCGGGAGGAGAGGCGUCAGAGUGUGCGGCGCAGACCUAGGUCUACCCCAUUGGGAAAGAGCAGUGACUAUCUGGGAGACGUCAUGGACACCUCUUCCUCUCCCUGCGUCUCUCUGUGGUGGUCAGUGUGAACAGCCUUAGAUUCUUCUGGGUGAUUCACAGGCCCGUUGAUGACAGGUAUUUUCCAGGCCUGGGCCUCUACAGCCACAGCUGCCCCUCCCAGUGUUUCCCGCGCUGAGUGUGUGAAGAGCCGCUGGACGUGUGGGUGAUCGGGGCCUGCGAGCACCCGGCCACCCCCACGCACCCCGAUAAGGGAGCUGACCCCUCUGUUGUCACAUUCUCCCAGAGAUUAGCCACGGUGGUUGGGGUAGAUUGGACUGGGCUGCCAGGGAACAGAGAACCAGAGAGGAGGGGCAGGGGUCAAGCAUGUAUGGUAGUAAUGUUCUUCAGCUCUUAUCUCUGAUAAUAAGGAUCCACCCCUUUUUGUUCAAUUUUCACCUAAAAUGAUAUACCCAAAUCUAACUGCCUGUAGCUCAGGCCCUGAAGCAAGGAUAUGCAUAUUAUUGGUACCAUUUGAAAGGAAACACUUUGAAGUUUGUGGAAAUGUGAAAGGAAUGUAGGAGAAUAUAACACAAUAGAUCUGGUAGAAGAUAAUACAAAGAGAAAACUAACCUUUCUUUUUUUUUGUACCAUCAUCUUUGAAAUGCAAGAGAAAGGCCAUAAUGUAUUAUUCCAGCCCCGGUGCAAUUUAGAUGUUGGCCACUAGAUGGCAGCAGUGUAUGUGCAAAGUUUUAGACUAUCCAAUGAACCAUUGCAUUUCUGUUCAAAAUCUUGAAUCAAAACUGCCCAAAUGUGCCUAAUGUGUUUAUUAACAACUUUUCAUGUUCAAAUUUGUGCACUCUCCUCAAACAAUAGCAUGGUAUUCUUUCACUCUAAUAGCUACUGUAAAUUGGACAGUGCAGUUAGAUUAACAAUAAUUUAAGAUAUCAGAUAUGUCUAUGUCCUGGGAAAUGUUCUUGUUACUUACAACCUCAUGCUAAUUGCUUUAGCCUAUGUUAGCUCAACCGUCCCAUGGACGGAACACCAAUCCCAAAGCAGAUUUAUAAGGUGUAGAGCUGUAGUGUCUUCCCAAAGUGAUGGGGGACCGUGAAAAACUAGUCUUGAAUUAGAAUAACGUUCAUCUCAAGUCUGGCCUGAAAUAGAUGGCCAUUCCCAUGAUGCAGCUAGACUUCUAAAAUUUUUGCUGUCAUACGGAAACUGUUAUUGCUUCUUAUGAUAUUUAUCAUAUUCUUGUUUUAUGUUUCAUAAAACAUUUGCAAAAGACAACUGAAAGUAUUCAGGUCUGUUUGCAGUCAAUACAAGGUUUUAUGUUUUUGGUUCGAAUUUUCAGACUUCUUUGAGCGUUGGGCCAGUAACUGAAAGGUCGCUGGUUGGAAUACCCAAGCCGACAAGGUGAAAAAUCUGUCGAUGUGCCCUUGAGCAAGGCACUUAACCCUACUUUGCUCCAGGGUGCCGUACUACUAUGGCUGAACCUGUAAAACAUCACAUUUCACUGCACCUAUCUGGUGAAUUUGACAAUAAAACUUUUUUUUAUUUUUGACACAUCAAUGCCCAUAGUUUCCAUCCUUAUCACUCAUCACAAACCUGCAGCACUCGCCAGUGUGUGAACACUAGCUUAUUGUAAUUUCAUAGACAUCCUUCAAAGUGGAAGAAAAGACAGUGAUAUAACAUUGGGGACACAGCCCAUAACAACAAUAUUUAGCAUUGUUUAUCAGGAGCCAGUGACCAGCUGUAUCAGUGUUGUGGCUCUAGCAGGUCUUGCCCUGAUAUCGUCUGGCUGAGAGCUCCUUCCUGGACAGCCUUGUGGCUCCUCAGGGCCAGGUCAAGAGGGCCCAGACCCACCCCAAGGAGAGAUGGUCUGUCUAGGGCUGGGACUGGGCGCUGGAGGGGAGAAGUCAGGCGAUUGUCUGGAGACCCUGAACACAGACAGUGUUUUCACUAGGAUGCCUGUGUUAUACCUCUAUAACAAAAGUUAGCUAAUAUAUUCUGCACUAACAGUCUUGGUUAUUUUUGACUUUCUGAAGAUUAAACAAAGUGUCAGCGAAGUA